rnacentral:rRNA from 1 species
UGCCAGACUCCUACGGGAGGCAGCAGUGGGGAAUAUUGCACAAUGGGGGAAACCCUGAUGCAGCAACGCCGCGUGAGUGAGGAAGUAUUUCGGUAUGUAAAGCUCUCUCAGCAGGGAAUAGAAAAGAAGGUACCUGAAAAAGAAGCCCCGGCUAACUACGUGCCAGCAGCCGCGGUAAUACGUAGGGGGCAAGCGUUAUCCGGAUUUACUGGGUGUAAAGGGAGCGUAGACGGCUGUGCAAGCCAGAUGUGAAAGCCCGGGGCUCAACCCCGGGACUGCAUUUGGAACUGUGUGGCUGGAGUGUCGGAGAGGCAGGCGGAAUUCCUAGUGUAGCGGUGAAAUGCGUAGAUACUAGGAGGAACACCAGUGGCGAAGGCGGCCUGCUGGACGAUGACUGACGUUGAGGCUCGAAAGCGUGGGGAGCAAACAGGAUUAGAUACCCUUGUACG